CCUACGGGAGGCAGCAGUGAGGAAUAUUGGUCAAUGGGAGAGAUCCUGAACCAGCCAAGCCGCGUGAGGGAAGACGGCCCUAUGGGUUGUAAACCUCUUUUGUCGGAGAACAAAACCCGGGACGAGUCCCGGACUGCGUGUAUCCGAAGAAAAAGCAUCGGCUAACUCCGUGCCAGCAGCCGCGGUAAUACGGAGGAUGCGAGCGUUAUCCGGAUUUAUUGGGUUUAAAGGGUGCGUAGGCGGUCUGUUAAGUCAGCGGUAAAAUUGCGGGGCUCAACCCCGUCGAGCCGUUGAAACUGGCAGACUUGAGUUGGCGAGAAGUACGCGGAAUGCGCGGUGUAGCGGUGAAAUGCAUAGAUAUCGCGCAGAACUCCGAUUGCGAAGGCAGCGUACUGGCGCCAGACUGACGCUGAGGCACGAAAGCGUGGGGAUCGAACAGGAUUAGAUACCCCGGUAGUC
rnacentral:rRNA from 1 species